rnacentral:rRNA from 1 species
UACGUAGGGGGCUAGCGCUAUCCGGAAUUACUGGGCGUAAAGGGUGCGUAGGCGGUCUUUCAAGCCAGAAGUGAAAGGCUACGGUUCAACCGUAGUAAGCUUUUGGAACUGUAAGACUUGAGUGCAGGAGAGGAGAGUGGAAUUCCUAGUGUAGCGGUGAAAUGCGUAGAUAUUAGGAGGAACACCAGUUGCGAAGGCGGCUCUCUGGACUGUAACUGACACUGAGGCACGAAAGCGUGGGGAGCAAACAGGAUUAGAUACCUCGGUAGUCCCU